rnacentral:rRNA from 1 species
AUUGAACGCUGGCGGCAGGCCUAACACAUGCAAGUCGAACGAGUGGCGGACGGGUGAGUAAUGUCUGGGAAACUGCCUGAUGGGGGGGGAUAACUACUGGAAACGGUAUCUAAUACCGCAUACCCUCAGAUUUUCCCAGAUGGGAUUAGCUAGUUGGUGGGGUAACGGCUCACCAAGGCGACGAUCCCUAGCUGGUCGGAGAGGAUGACCGGCCACACUGGAACUGAGAAAAGGUCCAGACGCCUACGGGAGGCAGCAGGGGGGAAUAUUGCAAAAUGGGCGAAAGCCGGAUGCAGACAUGCCGCGUGUAGGAAGAAGGCCUUCGGGUGGUAAAGUACUUUCAGCGGGGAGGCGUUACCCGCAGAAGAAGCAACGGCUAACUCCGUGCCAGCCGCCGCGGUAAUUC